rnacentral:rRNA from 1 species
CCUACGGGGGGCUGCAGUGAGGAAUAUUGGUCAAUGGACGCAAGUCUGAACCAGCCAUGCCGCGUGCAGGAAGACGGCUCUAUGAGUUGUAAACUGCUUUUGUACGAGGGUAAAUCCCGCUACGUGUAUCGGGUUGAAAGUAUCGUACGAAUAAGGAUCGGCUAACUCCGGGCCAGCAGCCGCGGUAAUACGGAGGAUGAGAGCGUUAUCCGGAUUUUGUGGGUUUAACGGGCACGCAGGCGGAAGAUCAAGUCAGAGGUAACAUUGAGAGGUUAAACCUUUUCGAGCCGUUGAAACUGGUUUUCUUGAGUGAGCGAGAAGUAUGCGGAAUGCGUGGUGUAGCGGUGAAAUGCAUAGAUAUCACGCAGAACUCCGAUGGCGAAGGCAGCAUACCGGCGCUCAACUGACGCUCAUGCACGAAAGUGUGGGUAUCGAACAGGAUUAGAUACCCUAGUAGUC